rnacentral:rRNA from 1 species
CGAAGGGGCUAGCGUUGUUCGGAUUUACUGGGCGUAAAGCGCGCGUAGGCGGAUUAAAUUAGUUAGAGGUGAAAUCCCAGGGCUCAACCCUGGAACUGCCUUUAAUACUGUUUAUCUAGAGUAUGAAAGAGGUGAGUGGAAUUCCGAGUGUAGAGGUGAAAUUCGUAGAUAUUCGGAGGAACAUCAGUGGCGAAGGCGGCUCACUGGUUCAGUUACUGACGCUGAGGUGCGAAAGCGUAGGGGAGCAAACGAGGAUU